GUGGGGAAUAUUGGACAAUGGGGGGAACCCUGAUCCAGCCAUGCCGCGUGUGUGAAGAAGGCCUUUUGGUUGUAAAGCACUUUAAGCGAGGAGGAGGCUACCGAGAUUAAUACUCUUGGAUAGUGGACGUUACUCGCAGAAUAAGCACCGGCUAACUCUGUGCCAGCAGCCGCGGUAAUACAGAGGGUGCGAGCGUUAAUCGGAUUUACUGGGCGUAAAGCGUGCGUAGGCGGCUUUUUAAGUCGGAUGUGAAAUCCCCGAGCUUAACUUGGGAAUUGCAUUCGAUACUGGGAAGCUAGAGUAUGGGAGAGGAUGGUAGAAUUCCAGGUGUAGCGGUGAAAUGCGUAGAGAUCUGGAGGAAUACCGAUGGCGAAGGCAGCCAUCUGGCCUAAUACUGACACUGAGGUGCGAAAGCAUGGGGAGCAAACAGGAUUAGAAACCCCAGUAGUCC
rnacentral:rRNA from 1 species